CUACGGGUGGCAGCAGUGAGGAAUAUUGCACAAUGGAGGAAACUCUGAUGCAGCAACGCCGCGUGGAGGAUGACGCAUUUCGGUGUGUGAACUCCUUUUAUAUGUCAAGAAAAUGACGGUAGCAUAUGAAUAAGCUCCGGCUAACUCCGUGCCAGCAGCCGCGGUAAUACGGAGGGAGCAAGCGUUACUCGGAAUCACUGGGCGUAAAGGACGCGUAGGCGGGAUAGAAAGUCAGGUGUGAAAUCCUAUGGCUCAACCAUAGAACUGCACUUGAAACUUCUAACCUAGAGUAUGGGAGGGGAAGAUGGAAUUAGUGGUGUAGGGGUAAAAUCCGUAGAUAUCACUAGGAAUACCAAAAGCGAAGGCGAUCUUCUGGAACAAUACUGACGCUAAGGCGUGAAAGCGUGGGGAGCAAACAGGAUUAGAUACCCCCGUAGUC
rnacentral:rRNA from 1 species